UCGGACAUGGUGUAUGGUACACAGCCUCUUGCUGUUCGCGAGUUUUGUGAGGAGUUUAGAGGCACUCCGGGGUUCGACUCCCCGUGUCCGAA